UCUAUGUUAAGCAAUCGUAACCGGACUUAUGUAGAAGUCACAACUAUCUGAGGCCGGGCAAUAAAAAUAUAGGUGUUAAUAUAUGUUAGAGAUUUGGUACAAUGAACCAAACUCCUAAAACAUACCACACACUAAAGGAAAUGAGGAGAUGACCUAUCUCAGUCUAGCUCAUGUUGAUUCAUCUGACACAAGGUCAUUG
rnacentral:lncRNA from 1 species